rnacentral:rRNA from 2 species
UUGAUGGAUAGUAUGAAUGGUAUAACGAAUAUAACACUGUCUCAAAUAAAAAUCUUAUAAAAUUAGAAUAAUAGUAAAGAUACUAUUUUAAACUGUAAGACGAGAAGACCCUAUAGAGCUUAACUAUAACUCUUUAACAAUCAAUAAACUAGUUUAUUAUUAAAAAGAGAUAGGUAGUUUAGUUGGGGCGACUAUUUUCUAGAAUAAACGAAAAUAAACAAAAAUUAAUUGGAAAAAUUUACUGUUUAAUUAAUAAAUUUAACAGUUAUUACAAUAGGUAAUAAUGACCCGUUAACAAUUAAUAAUAAUAUUAACGAUCAAUAAAUAAAAGCUACCUUAGGGAUAACAGGAUAAUUUUGUU